rnacentral:rRNA from 1 species
GUCCACGCCGUAAACGAUGGGCACUAGGUGUGGGAGGUGUCGACUCCUCCCGUGCCGUCGCUAACGCACUAAGUGCCCCGCCUGGGGAGUACGGCCGCAAGGCUAAAACUCAAAGGAAUUGACGGGGGCCCGCACAAGCAGCGGAGCAUGUGGUUUAAUUCGACGCAACGCGAAGAACCUUACCUGGGUUUGACAUGUAAGUGACCGCCAUGGAAACAUGGUUUUCCUUCGGGACACUUACACAGGUGGUGCAUGGCUGUCGU